GAACGCACAUUGCGCCCCUUGGUAUUCCGAGGGGCAUGCCUAUUCGAGCGUCAUUAUCACCCCUCAAGCCUAGCUUGGUGUUGAGGCCUGCUGUCAAGGCAGCCUCUAAAAUCAGUGGCAGUGCUGUCAGGCUCUAAGCGUAGUAAAUCUAAUCGCUAUAGACACCUGGUGGCCACUCGCCAGAACCCCCCCCAUUUUUUAAUGAUUGACCUCGGAUUAGGUAGGGAUACCCGCUGAACUUAAG
rnacentral:misc_RNA from 1 species